rnacentral:rRNA from 1 species
GAUCAAGCGCAUAAGGGCUUCUGACGGAUGCCUUGGCAUUGAGAGGCGAUGAAGGACGUGGCACGCUGCGAUAAGAGCCGGGGAGGCGCGAGCACCCUUUGAUCCGGCUAUCUCCGAAUGGGGAAACCCACCUUUAUGGUCACCCAACUUAGUCUCAGCUUCGGCUGGGUCCAGGAUUGGAUGAUCAGAAGAGGUAUAAUGACCUGAAUACAUAGGGUUCAUUAAGCAAACCCGGGGAACUGAAACAUCUCAGUACCCGGAGGAAAGGACAUCAACCGAGACUCCCGUAGUAGUGGCGAGCGAACCGGGACCAGGCCAGUGCUGUCGUGACAUAAAGCUGAAGGAUCUGGGAAGGUCCGCCAUAGUGGGUGAUAGCCCCGUAAGCGUCAAAUAGCGACAGACUCGAGUAGGGCGGGACACGUGAAAUCCUGUCUGAACAUGGGGGACCACCCUCCAAGCCUAAGUACUCCUCAAUGACCGAUAGCGAACAAGUACCGUGAGGGAAAGGUGAAAAGCACCCCGACAAGGGGAGUGAAACAGAUCCUGAAAUCGGAAGCCUACAAGCAGUCGGAGCCACCGCGCGUGGUGACGGCGUACCUUUUGUAUAAUGGGUCAGCGACUUCAUGUGCCGUGCAAGCUUAAGCCGUUAGGUGUAGGCGCAGCGAAAGCGAGUCUGAAUAGGGCGAAUAAGUACGUCGCAUGACGACCCGAAACCAGGUGAUCUAUCCAUGAGCAGGUUGAAGGUAAGGUAACACUUACUGGAGGACCGAACCGGUGAAUGUUGAAAAAUUCUCGGAUGACUUGUGGAUAGGGGUGAAAGGCCAAUCAAACCUGGACAUAGCUGGUUCUCCGCGAAAACUAUUUAGGUAGUGCCUCGGACGUAUUCCUUGGGGGGUAGAGCACUGAAUGGAUGCGGGCGGCGCGAGCUGUACCAAUUCUAAUCAAACUCCGAAUACCCAAGAGAACUAUCCGGGAGACACACGGCGGGUGCUAACGUCCGUCGUGAAAAGGGAAACAACCCUAACCAUCAUCUAAGGCCCCCAAGUUCUGGCUAAGUGGGAAACGAUGUGGGUUUGCUUUGACAACCAGGAUGUUGGCUUAGAAGCAGCCAUCAUUUAAAGAAAGCGUAACAGCUCACUGGUCAAGCGAACCUGCGCGGAAAAUGUAACGGGGCUCAAGCCAGACGCCGAAGGUAUGGGUGUGCGUAAGCACGCGGUAGCGGAGCGUUCCGUAAGCCGAUGAAGGUGAGGCGCGAGCCUUGCUGGAGGUAUCGGAAGUGAGAAUGCUGACAUGAGUAGCGAUAAAGAGGGUGAGAGACCCUCUCGCCGAAAGCCCAAGGGUUCCUGCGUAAAGCUAAUCUGCGCAGGGUUAGUCGGCCCCUAAGGCGAGGCCGAAAGGCGUAGUCGAUGGGAAUCAGGUGAAUAUUCCUGAACCAGUUGGAAGUGACGGAUCUGGUAAAUUGUCAGGGCUUAUUGGAUUGCUCCUGGCAGUGAACAGGUCCCUGGAAAUAACUCCAACGGAGACCGUACCCGAAACCGACACAGGUGGGCAGGUAGAGUAUACCAAGGCGCUUGAGAGAACUGUGCUGAAGGAACUCGGCAAAUU